rnacentral:rRNA from 1 species
UGAUUCCCCUAGUAACGGCGAGCGAAGCGGGAAAAGCCCAGACCAAAAUCCGCGGGUCUCUGGCCCGUCGGAGCUGUGGUCUUUGAGCCGGGGAUAUGCCAUGGUGCGAACCUUCUCAAGUUUCUUGGAAAGGGGCCUCCCAUAGAGGGUGCUAGGCCUGUAGGUGGGGGGUUCGUACAAUGGCGCUUCCACGGCCUUAGAGUCGGGUUGUUUGGGAAUGCAGCCCAAAGUCGGUGGUAUGCUCCAUCUAAGGCUAAAUACUAGCACGAGUCCGAUAGCGAACAAGUACCGUGAGGGAAAGUU